CGUUGAGCACCAGAUCCCAGGGGCCCGUCGUGGCCGAAAAGCCCUUCGCCGCAGCCAGGCAGCAAUCGGAAACCCCACAGGUGCACAACGCACACCAGCACACACACUGGUUGAUCGUGACAUGGUGAUGAGCCGCACAGCGACAGAAAAAGGACACAGAGAUACAAGAGAUCUAGAAAGCAGACAGUUGAGCUUGAGCUUUUGUGAAAGCAUUGUCCAAAAAGGCACCCCCCCACCAUCACCACCACCACCACCCCAUGAAAGAGCUUUACUGUAUGCAAGUGUCCAGUGACUGGAAAAGCCAUUGCAGUAAAGUGGAGGAGUAAUCCUGGCAGGGCCUGUCUUUUCACUUAGGAAACCCAUAAGAAUCCAAGCCCUGAGCAGAAUGCCUCCCCUGACGCCCAUAGCUGAGAUAGCGAAGACGGCAAAGAGGGCCACUGUGUUUGAAAUAAACACAAAACCUGUGUCCACUGGGCACAAUAA